rnacentral:lncRNA from 1 species
UUUUAUUUUUCCAUAUUUUAUUUCACUAAUUUUUUACUUUUUUUAUGAAUUUUCUCUUUUCUCCUUUGUUUUUAUUGGUUUAAAAAUACUUUUCUAUAUUUUAAAAUUCUGAAAAAAAAUUAUUAUAUACUUCGUGUUUUAUUUUCAAUCUUCCAUAAUUUUCUUGACCAUUUAUUUGGUGUUAUGAAGGACUGUAUGGAUUUUCC